rnacentral:misc_RNA from 1 species
GAUGAAGAACGUAGCGAAAUGCGAUAAGUAGUGUGAAUUGCAGAAUUCAGUGAAUCAACGAAUCUUUGAACGCACAUUGCGCCCUUUGGUAUUCCAAAGGGCAUGCCUGUUCGAGCGUCAUUUGUACCCUCAAGCUUUGCUUGGUGUUGGGCGUCUUGUCUCUAGCUUUGCUGGAGACUCGCCUUAAAGUAAUUGGCAGCCGGCCUACUGGUUUCGGAGCGCAGCACAAGUCGCACUCUCUAUCAGCAAAGGUCUAGCAUCCAUUAAGCCUUUUUUUCAACUUUUGACCUCGGAUCAGGUAGGGAUACCCGCUGAACUUAAGCAUAUCAAUAAGCGGAGGA